ACAAAACCGAAAGAGGCAAAAAAAACAAAAAAAACAAAAAAAGCCACCUAAAAAUAACCAAAAAGGCAUCGCCGCGCUCGCUCCGGCUGUAAAUACCGUAGGUAACGUGUGCCGCCACCCGCUCUCAUAGUAAGUGAGAAUCUGUGUUAUUUUGCUCUGUUGUUUUCUCCCUCUCAACCCCUUACCCUAUUUUGGAAAAAGAGGGAAAAAAAAUGUUGUUUUUUUUCUUGCGGGAGGGGGUUGGGGGGGGGCAAAACCUGUCCCGUCUUUUUCCCCCCGUAGGUAUGUGGCUAGAAAAGCCUAGAACCGGCCGACGAGAGGGGACAAAGUAAAGGAAAAUGAUAAUAAUGAUAAGGAAAAGCGAGCCAGUCUCAGGAUAUGUGUACCCCAAAGCGGCCGACCGGCGGGCAGAGGUUAGACAGCCGCAGCGCUCGGUGCGGAGCAGCUCUCCCGAGGGAAACGCGGGGCCGUUGGCGCUCUGGUUGUAUUAAUUCGGACUCUUUUUUGGGGGGGAAGUAAGCCCUUUCCAUUGUCGUCGUGGCGGUUUCUCCCCUUGCAGCUUGGGGAGGGGGCGGCGCGAGCGAGCGGUGUCUUGC
rnacentral:lncRNA from 1 species